AAAAGAGAACCAGGUCACGCAUCACGUCUCCUCGCCGCCGCCGCCUCCUACCCCCUAUUCUCCUACGGCGCCGUCGGCUCCUCCCACGCACCAGGUCUCCUCGCCGCCGCCGCCUCCUCCCACGCGCCAGGUCUCCUGCGCCGCCGUCGGCUCCUCGCACGCAUCAGGUCUCGUCGUCGGCACCGCCGUUGUCGCCUCCCCUAUCCUCCUUCGCCGCCAUCUACUCCGUCCCCGUCCCUGUCAGGUCCCUGAGCACGGGAUGCAAGGUAUGGAGUCAGCGCACAGCCCCUCGCCGACGCGGCCAUCAGCCUCCCCAUGACAAACCAUCGUGUCCACGAGCUCCAUCACCGCGAGAUCUCCUUCCCCACCGAAGAAAUCUGUCAGUCCAAUGAAAAAAAUGUUAAAAGCACAUGGUGUCCAUCAAAUUUUGUUCACCUGCUAGUAGCUGGAUUCCAAGCAUUGCAGGUACUCACGUGUGAAGUUCAUCAUUUUUGGGUAUAAUCUCACUGAACCGUUGCACCAGGAGUGCACAUUCCGAGCUACUGUUGCUUAUAUAAGUAUGGUUCACACCGUCUUCUUAGUGUUCUUGUGAUAGAUGAUUCAUGUAUGCUGAUACUUUACUCUACAACUCAAUAAAAGGACCAGCAUUUACACUCCUCUGAAUAAAGACAAUAUUUGUAUAUGGUUUCUUUGUUCAAUUUUCAUACCAUAAACAACUUGUGUUGAAUGAACAAGUUCCAUUUGCUGUUGAAGAGUAAAUCGUACAGGACACUUAUUUUUGAAUGGAGGGGGUACAUAACUUAUUAAUUUACCCCAUAAUAAGAAGUGUUGAUCUAACUCUCCUCUCACCCGAUUAUAUAUUAUUACAAAGCUUGCUUAUAGCUGGAAAACGCAGUUCACUGGAAGGCUGCAUCUCUCCCCUAUAUUUUUUUCCAUGCUACUGCAUUUUUUAGGUAUAUUGGUGUGGACACGUGAUUAAGAAAUGACAUGUAUUAUAUAUGAUCAGGUAUACUGCAACUUCAGACUACAACUUUUGCUUCUCUACAUCUGUUUGGUGAUUGCGUUUUCUUGAAUUGAAUUAUGCAUUCAUGGCCAUGGCACACAAAAAUAUGUGUCCUUCUGUUUAAAUGUAGUUUGAUAAGCUUAUAUAGCUGUAGCUGAAUGAACUGUGCAAAGGCAGUGCCUUCUCAUAUGUAUUUCGGAUCAAUAUUUUGCAGCUUGCAUUAAUUGUUUUUUAGCUGGCUACUUGCUACCUCUGCACAUAUAUAUACUAAUAUAAAUAUUGUGACAUGUUGUACUGCAACAAAAGGGGCGAGAACAAAUAUAAGUAAGAUUGUAAAUUUCAUACAUAUUAACGUACUUCCAGAUUUGCAUCUAUGGUAAUGGCCUAUUCAACACUACAAUGCUACAGUAAAUGGAGCUUUGGUUGUAAGUACAUCAUAUCGAAUCUCUUUGAUCACAUGACUUUGAAAUCUUGUUAGUGAUAUACUGAUAUACAAAGUAGAUGAAAAUUCUAGUGGAAGUAAGUUCACAAUUUUCUGUUAGGAGUAAACUCGAUAAAUGACAGAUGCAUAUAUUUGUAACUCUUCAAGGGUUUGAUCAGGCUAAUUGAACACAAACACUGUUUAUUUGCUUUAGAACGGUGUGAACUUCAGUAUGCAUAGUACAAUGAUCUUACUAUAUUUUUUUAUGAUGUUUGAAGAAAAUUCUGUCUGCUAUGUUGCGAAGGCUGAGAGGAUGAUCCUUGCAUUGUCAAAAAGCGAUAUACUUGUGGAUUUCAUUUGUAUGAGGGUAGGAACUUAAAUUGCAAAUUAGGUAUUUACAAGCUAAGCUUUGCAAUUCUUUCAUGGUUACAACUUCAGUAAUAUUUGUACGCGACUAAUAUCCUGCCUCUGUCACUACUUGCAUCAUUUCAAUGCAUUGUGUGUUAACAGUUCGUUUUGCUUUUUGUUUGUAGAUUGAAAAGAUAAAUGGAUCAUUAUAUGGGUGUGUGACAAGUAUACUGCAAUUAUGACGAUGAAGUUCCUGAUGAUGAUGCUGAUUAUGAUGAUGGACGCUUCCAGUUUUAAUUAAGUUGUAGGGAUGAUGUUCCCUGGUUAUGUUUUAGUUAAGUUUUGGGAUGUUGAUGGAUGCUUUCAAUUUUAGUUUCAAUGUCAAGAAACUAUUUAGAUUAUUCAUCACAUGUGGAGGAUGUUUCUCUUGUAAUACCCACUGCUGUAAUUCAACAAUUUUAUCUCAUAUAUGAUUUCUCCCUCCCGUGAGUA